GAUGAACGCUGGCGGCGUGCCUAAUACAUGCAAGUCGAGCGAACGGACGAGAAGCUUGCUUCUCUGAUGUUAGCGGCGGACGGGUGAGUAACACGUGGAUAACCUACCUAUAAGACUGGGAUAACUUCGGGAAACCGGAACUAAUACCGGAUGAUAUUUUGAACCGCAUGGUUCAAAAGUGAAAGACGGUCUUGCUGCCACUUAUAGAUGGAUCCGCGCUGCAUUAGCUAGUUGGUAAGGUAACGGCUUACCAAGGCAACGAUGCAUAGCCGACCUGAGAGGGUGAUCGGCCACACUGGAACUGAGACACGGUCCAGACUCCUACGGGAGGCAGCAGUAGGGAAUCUUCCGCAAUGGGCGAAAGCCUGACGGAGCAACGCCGCGUGAGUGAUGAAGGUCUUCGGAUCGUAAAACUCUGUUAUUAGGGAAGAACAUAUGUGUAAGUAACUGUGCACAUCUUGACGGUACCUAAUCAGAAAGCCACGGCUAACUACGUG
rnacentral:rRNA from 1 species